rnacentral:rRNA from 1 species
UACGUAGGUGGCAAGCGUUGUCCGGAUUUACUGGGCGUAAAGAGCGCACAGGCGGCUGGUCAAGUCCGAUGUGAAAUCUCCCGGCUUAACUGGGAAACUGCAUCGGAAACUGAUCGGCUUGAAGGUGGGAGAGGGUAGUGGAAUUCCCGGUGUAGUGGUGAAAUGCGUAGAUAUCGGGAGGAACACCAGUGGCGAAGGCGACUACCUGGCCCAUUCUUGACGCUGAGGCGCGAAAGCUAGGGGAGCGAACGGG